rnacentral:rRNA from 1 species
AUUGAACGCUGCGGCAGGCCUAACACAUGCAAGUCGAGCGGAAACGAGUUAUCUGAACCUUCGGGGAACGAUAACGGCGUCGAGCGGCGGACGGGUGAGUAAUGCCUAGGAAAUUGCCUUGAUGUGGGGGAUAACCAUUGGAAACGAUGGCUAAUACCGCAUGAUGCCUACGGGCCAAAGAGGGGGACCUUCGGGCCUCUCGCGUCAAGAUAUGCCUAGGUGGGAUUAGCUAGUUGGUGAGGUAAUGGCUCACCAAGGCGACGAUCCCUAGCUGGUCUGAGAGGAUGAUCAGCCACACUGGAACUGAGACACGGUCCAGACUCCUACGGGAGGCAGCAGUGGGGAAUAUUGCACAAUGGGCGCAAGCCUGAUGCAGCCAUGCCGCGUGUAUGAAGAAGGCCUUCGGGUUGUAAAGUACUUUCAGCAGUGAGGAAGGGGGUGUCGUUAAUAGCGGCAUUUCUUGACGUUA